UUUCCAUAAACUAGGUCUUUAAGUUAAAUCUCAGACCACUCUAGAAGCCACAUUUAUGACUCAGUCAUGUUUAAAAUAGGGCAUAAUGUUUAUCUUGACAAUAUCAUCUUAUAAUCAAUGCCAUUUUCGAAACUCGCUUAAGUGCGGUCAACAACUAUGUCAAAAGGGCAAGUCUUCUACCAAAGUUUUAAGUCGAACUAAGUCUUCAGGGCCAUCCUGACCCUUUUGUUACAAUAAGCAGGAUGCAGAUAUUUUUCAAAAAACGAUAUUUUGCAUUGUUUUCAAUUAAAGAACUUAAAGAUUGUAUUUAAAGAAAAUCGUUACAUUUAAGGAAUAUUGUUUUUUUUGCUCAGUGUACUUAAAAUACUUACAUGUGUAUCGCAUUUAAAUUCAGACUAAAAUGCAUGUUAUGUUUUCAUUCUAUUUUCAAAGAUAUCUGUCAGUUGGCGGGAGAAUGAUCGAGAUGUUUAAAUAGCAAAAUAUGCACACAUUGCUGCUUCAGCUUCAAUAUGAAAUGCAGCGGCAGUGGCAGAAGCAACACACUCACAAUUCAACAAUAAACAGUUCCAUUGACGAGCGCUUUUAAAUGACAACAUGUCAAUGAACAAGGCACCUUUCUCUGAAAACCUCGCCGAGCUAAUGAACAGUGCAACUGCGCCAUAUGUGACCCUUCAGAGAAUGGAAUUCCUAGCCAAAUAUCUAAUCGGUGCCAAUCUGGGCUCUAGCAGCAGCCUCAGCCGUGGGGGACAGGUUUAUGAAGCAAUCUGGGCUCCAGCAGCAGCCUCAGCCGUGGGGGACAGGUUUAUGAAGCAAUCUGGGCUCCAGCAGCAGCCUCAGCCGUGGGGGACAGGUUUAUGAAACAGGGCUCCAGCAGCAGCCUCAGCCGUGGGGGACAGGUUUAUGAAGCACCCUGAACUUCUCAAUCUCACAGCAACAGUAGAUCAACAUGACCUCUAGCAGCAGCCUCAGCCGUGGGGGACAGGUUUAUGAAGCACCCUGAACUUCUCAAUCUCACAGCAACAGUAGAUCAACAUGACCUGAAAGCGGUUCGUGUUCAGUGUCUAACAGUAUUCUAAUGACCAAGCCACGUCAGCAAAGCAGCAAUAACAGCAGUCAAGUCGAGGAUCACCCAAAACCACUUGGUGCCUAGCGAUGAUUUUUUCUGCUACCAACUUGACCUGGUUAUUGUACUCACGUGGGCGUCAGGUUAAAGGUCACAUAAGGUUUAAUCAGCAUAUAUGGCCAUGGUAGUAAGAAAAUUUAAGAUCAUAAAGGGACUUGUUGACCAACUCGAUGACCAAGUUAUUUAAUAUUGUUCCAAAUGUAUAAACGAAAUGACUGCAAUGCAGGGCAUCACAAGAAAAUCUACAUACUUUCCCCUUUAAAUGUGUAAAAUUAACAAUAUACAAAAUUACUACAAAACAGGCAUUUAC